UAGUCAUAUGCUUGUCUCAAAGAUUAAGCCAUGCAUGUCUAAGUAUACGCAAAUUAUACUGUGAAACUGCGAAUGGCUCAUUAAAUCAGUUAUAGUUUAUUUGAUGUUUCUUGCUACAUGGAUAACUGUGGUAAUUCUAGAGCUAAUACAUGCGUAAAAAGCCCCGACUUCUGGAAGGGGUGUAUUUAUUAGAUAAAAACCAUCCUCCUCGGAGUUUGGUGAUUCAUAAUAACUUCUCGAAUCGCACGGCCUUGUGCUGGCGAUGCUUCACUCAAAUAUCUGCCCUAUCAUCUGUCGAUGGUAGGAUAGAGGCCUACCAUGGUUGCAACGGGUAACGGGGAAUAAGGGUUCGAUUCCGGAGAGGGAGCCUGAGAAACGGCUACCACAUCCAAGGAAGGCAGCAGGCGCGCAAAUUACCCA
rnacentral:rRNA from 1 species